rnacentral:rRNA from 1 species
UUUCGCUCUUAGAAGUUUGUAUCUCGUGUGUGGUAGUAGUUAGGAUUAAAAGCCUAACUAGCUAUACGCACGUAGUCGUAACUGAAAGGUUGAUCGACCACAGUGGGCCUGAACAAAGCCCAUGACGAUUGUCACAGCAGUGAGGAAUAUUGGUCAAUAGCCUAACGGCUGAACCAGCAACUUGGAGGAAUGUAUAGCAAUAGCUACUUGUAUCAUUGUAGAUAUGAUGCAGGAUCGACUAUGUCGAAUAAAAUUCUAGGUAGAAUUAUGAUAAUGACAUUGUCUGCCUAUGUGUCUUGACCAAAUUACGUGCCAGCAGUCGCGGUAAUACGUAGAAGACUAGUGUUAUUCAUGUUUAAUCGGUUUAAAGGGUACCUAGACGGUAAAUCAAGCCUACAAAUAAAAGAAAUGAAGGGACUAAUUUGCUAGAGUUACUUAUGAGGGGGUAUUAAAGUACUGCUGGUGUAGAGAUGAAAUUCUGUCAUACCUCUUUUCAAUAGAAAAAUAACGGCACAGGUAUAGGCGAAAGCAUCCCCUUAUGUGAUAACUGACGUUGAGGGACGAAGGCUUUGUGUAGCGAACAGGAUUAGAUACCCCAGUAGUCAAAGCAGAAAAUGAUGAAUGUCAUAGAUUAGAUAAAUAAGUUUAUUCUAUAAAUGAAAGUGUAAGCAUUCCACCUCAAGAGUAAUUUGGCAACAUUGGAACUGAAAUCAUUAGACCGUUUCUGAAACCAGUAGUGAAGUAUGUUGUUUAAUUUGAUGAUCCGCAAAAAACCUUACCACAAUUUGAAUAUUUAUAUCUUUUAUUGUUUUAUUUUUCUUAUGGUUUUAUUCCAGAUGGUGAUAAUUAUAUAAGAAAAGAGAGGCAAUAAGAUAUAUUUACAAGCGUUGCACGGCUGUCUUCAGUUAAUGUCGCGAGACUUUGGUUAGUUCCAUUAAAUUAACGUAAACCCUUACUUUAUUUUUAUAUAGAGUAGUUCCCCGCUAUAUUGGAUAUGAU